AGUGAACGCUGGCGGUAGGCCUAACACAUGCAAGUCGAACGGCAGCACAGUAAGAGCUUGCUCUUACGGGUGGCGAGUGGCGGACGGGUGAGGAAUACAUCGGAAUCUACUUUUUCGUGGGGGAUAACGUAGGGAAACUUACGCUAAUACCGCAUACGACCUACGGGUGAAAGCAGGGGAUCUUCGGACCUUGCGCGAUUGAAUGAGCCGAUGUCGGAUUAGCUAGUUGGCGGGGUAAAGGCCCACCAAGGCGACGAUCCGUAGCUGGUCUGAGAGGAUGAUCAGCCACACUGGAACUGAGACACGGUCCAGACUCCUACGGGAGGCAGCAGUGGGGAAUAUUGGACAAUGGGCGCAAGCCUGAUCCAGCCAUACCGCGUGGGUGAAGAAGGCCUUCGGGUUGUAAAGCCCUUUUGUUGGGAAGGAAAUCCAGCCGGCUAAUACCUGGUUGGGAUGACGGUACCCAAAGAAUAAGCACCGGCUAACUUCGUG
rnacentral:rRNA from 1 species